rnacentral:tRNA from 1 species
GCAUUGGUGGUUAAGUGGUAGAAUUCUUGCCUUCCAUGCAAGAGACUCAGGUUUAAUUCCUUGCCAACGUG